rnacentral:lncRNA from 1 species
CCUUCUGUUCUAUGAACACCCCACCACUGAAUGAUUCACUUUCAAGUUCUCGCCUCCGACCCGGGAGAACACAGGGUCAAGCCAAGCCCUGACCCGCCUAAAUGGAAUUCAUAUCUCCUUCGUCUGGUCGAGAAGGGAGGGGAACUGGACUCUGCCUCUUCUAUUACAUUUACAUUACAUUACGGAGAAGUCCAUUCUCGUCAUGAUCGAUCCACGUCCUAGCGU